UACGUAGGGUGCGAGCGUUAAUCGGAAUUACUGGGCGUAAAGCGUGCGCAGGCGGUUAUGCAAGACAGGUGUGAAAUCCCCGGGCUCAACCUGGGAACUGCACUUGUGACUGCAUGACUAGAGUGCGUCAGAGGGAGGUGGAAUUCCGCGUGUAGCAGUGAAAUGCGUAGAGAUGCGGAGGAACACCGAUGGCGAAGGCAGCCUCCUGGGAUGACACUGACGCUCAUGCACGAAAGCGUGGGGAGCAAACAGGAUUAGAUACCCAGUAGUCC
rnacentral:rRNA from 1 species